UGCUAUAUGAUUAUGUGUAAAUAAUAUGUUUCCUGGGUUAAUGGUUGUUUCCGCAUGAUCUAUGUAAAUGUCAUAUGUAUCAUAACCUAACAAAUCCUUGGUAAGGAUUGCCUACGUAUCUUGUCAGAAUCAGGUCGCGCGUAGUUCUAGCUUUAGAAUAAGUUCUAGUAUGCCGGAUUUCGGUAGAUAUGCCCUGAGGUGGAAACAUAUUACUUAAUCGGUCAAAUGAGUGAAGUAUUAUCAUUAUUUUCAUCUGCCGUUUUUUUUUGCCAUAAGUCGCGUAAAAUAUGAAACUCAAAAUCCGACUAAUUUGUAUGGCUAUAUUCUUGGUUGGUAAGCCUAUUUGGAUACUUGGAUACGUACUGUACCCCCCAAGUGUUCGUUAUUUUUCCGUUGUGUGCGGAUAAAAUGCCGAGCACUUUCUGAAAAGAAAAUUUUUGUCAGGCAGAGAGUUUCAACGCCCAGGCUGGGGCGUCAGCAAUUUCGGCGCCCAGCCCUGGGCGCUUAAAAUGACUUGGGCGGUCGAUUUUUGACGCUUUGCUUCACAUGUUCUUGCAUUUUUUUUUUGUGCCUUGAUAUUUUGCUCGUAUUUAAAGGCCAAUUUUGAGGCUACUUUGGAGGCUUUUUUGACUGUUAGCGUGAAAUGCGUUUUUGUCCGAAUCAAUUUUUUCUAUUCGUGACUCGAAACAGUUUUGAAAAUGGGGUUAGGGUGCGGAAGUUAUGAAGAUCUUUGUGUAGGUUUUUGAGGUGUUGUUAGUGAAGGGUAUGAUGGAAUCUAUGUUUUAUGAAUCUGUUUUUUUGGUAACAUUUGCAUUGUUUUGGAUUUUGAUUUCCUUUGAUUCUGGGUUUGCAUGGAUUGACUCUUAUGAUGACACUGGUUUGGCUUUUUAGGUUUUGGGGAUAUGAAUUGGAUAGUGUGGUUUAUUUUGUGGGUUUCGGGAAUUGGUUCCCAUGGCACUAUUUCAAAACCGAGUGGGCUUUGUUUGUUGGGCCUGGAGUGGGCCGCCUCUUUAUUUUUGUAUUUUGCAAGUACAUUUGGUGUUUAUUUAGUGUUAGAAUAAAAAUUUUAGGAGAAAUAUUACGCCUUUAUUGAUUCGGAAAGUAAGGAAAACACACUGAAAUAAAACUGACCCAUAUUCUAAGGGGCCUUAGGACCAUCUAAAGUCUCUAUUAUAUUUUUUUUAUCAAUCUAAAGAACUACUAGGCGCUUUUUACUAAUGGUGCUCUAUGUGGCUCAAGCCUGGGGUUUAGUCUCAUAAAACUUCGGUUCUUCACCGGUACUCAUCUUGAAUUCCAUUCCUUUUGCAUUGACCCACUGAUAUGUCUUCACCCAUCCGUUCUCGACCUCUUCUAGUGUUGAUGCAAGAGAGAUUAACCGGGUUGGAUCGAAACCUUCAUCUUGUAAAGUUAGGGUAGUCAUCACAGUCUCGUUCUCCAUAGGCCUCGAUUCGUUAAACAAUGUCCAUAGAGCCCGGUUGUCCAAUAUUUCAGCUGUUUUAGUCUUGGUGAGGUGGGGUGCCUCAUCCAAGGUGGGGCAAUCAUGGAAAAUUUCAAAUCCGGGUUUUAGCAAGCCAUCCUGAACGAAGGGUUCAGGGAAAUCACAACAUGGGUGUUCUUCUCCUUCCCGAACGAACAUCCCGUUAAGGGUCCUUUGAUAUGGGGGAAGGAGGGUGGUUUGUUUGGCUUUGUUAAGGCAUAGCCUAGACAGGUGGUCAGCAAUAUCUUCCUCCGUUGGUUCAUAACCUAAGCCAAAGGGAGUAGAUUUAUCGGGAAAAGGAUGGAAUGUGUAUUCCUUCUUCCUUAUGCCCAAUGGGGUUCCUGGGAAAUAACCUUGAGCUAACAGCAUUCUAGGGAUGACUCGGUAUGCAUGCGGGUCUAGGAAUGCUGGGUCAUAAUCUUCGAUGAACUGGAUUGUUUCUUCCAUUUGAAACCCAUAAAGGUCGUCUGCAGUUUCGGCCGCUCCAACCAUAGUGCAACUGACGUCGAGAGGAGGGGCGCGGAUUUCUAGUAUUACCCCGUUAUGGUUAAGUUUAACCAUUUGGUGCAAGGUAGAAGCCACACCUCCUAAGUCAUGGAGCCAAGGUCGCCCCAAGAGGAGGUUGAAAGUGGGCUUGAUGUCGAUUAUUUGAAACUCCGUGGUGCGUGCCACAGGCCCGGUUUGUAUGGUAAGGUUGAUUUUUCCCAAUACAGGCCUUCGGGAGUUAUCAUAAGCUCGUACCCCUUGCGUAGAGGUUUGGAAGUCAUCGUUUCCUAGCCCCAAGAAAUGGGCGGUUCGCAAUGGGCAGACAUUAACCGCCGAACCAUUAUCUACGAGCGCUAGGGGGAUGUUUUGUCCUUUGCAUCCAACCACUAGGUAAAGGGCUUUAUUGUGAGCACCCCCCUCUUUGGGUAAGUCUUUAUCAGUGAAAACUAUGGCCUUUUCUCCGGCAUCUCUCGUGACAUGGCUAACCAAUGAGUCAGGUGUGAUAUCUGUAGGUACUGAGAUGAGGUCAAGUGAGCGAAUAAGCUUUUCGCGAUGUUCCUUUGAAGUACACAUAAGAUCCCAGAUGGUAAUCUCGGCCUUGGUUAUUUUUAGUUGUUUCAGGAGAGGAUUUUCAAUGACUUCUGCGAUGGUGGCGUGCCGUCCAUUCUCAGGAGUUUGCCUAACCGGGUUGUCGUCCAUAGGAGGUGGGUGAAUAUCCGGUUGGUAUAUUCUUCCGGAUCGGGUGAGGUUGUCGACCUUGGGCUCCUGAGGGGUGGUGUCAAUGAGAGCAUACCCGGGCCAAGUUUCAGUGAAAAGGUCCUGGCCCGACACUUGAGAUAGGUAAAUAUCUUCAGCAUCAUCAUUCCACACACCGCACACUUCCCUCUCGAUUCGAUCCAUAGGGACCACAGCGAGUGGUGCACCUUGAGGUGUAAUAUACACCGUGGGGUCGAAAUUCUCUGGUUGGUCGAGAGAGAUGUGACAAGAGCCGAGUGGGCUCUUGUUGUUGUUGGGUUUGCCAACGUUAGGGAGAGGUAUCACUUCAUCCUCUAUCAUGUCCUGGAUCGUAUGUUUUAGAUUCCAGCAGUUUUCAGUGUCAUGCCCAUUUCCUUGAUGGAAUUUGCAGUAAGUACCUUCGACCGAAUAUUUGCUUUUGACAGGAGGGUCACGGGUGGGGCCUAUAGGUUGUCAAUGAAUUUUUGGACCAAUUUUGUUUCGGGAGGCCUAUUGAUUAGCUGGGCCGCCUGGUCCCUCCAUCUAGCAAAGUAGGUCGUGAAACCCUCAUUUUUCUUUUGGAAGAGAACUUCCAGCUCGCGCAUGGUGACUUGGAAAUCCGUGUUCGACGAGUAUUGCUUAAUGAAGACGUUGACAAAGUCUUCCCAAGUGGGAAAGAGCUUAGGGUCCUGGUGAUUGUACCAUUUGAGCGGCACAGGUUCCAAGGACAAAGGAAAGGCAGGUAAGUACAUGGACUUGUCCACGCCUUUCAAGUUCAUGGCAUUCACAAAGCUCAGUAGAUGAUCACGGGGGUUGUCCGUGGCCUUGAACUUUGGUAAGUCAGAUGAACUGAACUUUUCUGGUAGUUUGCCAGAAAAAGGUUCAGGAUCGAGGGAGAAGUAUUUGCUCCCCAUGGUUUGCUGUAGGACCAUUUUUUCAAUCCUCUUCUCGUUAUCGAGGUCAUUUUUGGCUUGCGCAGCCGCUAAAGCUUCAUUUUACAUUUUUAGUUGGCCCAUGAGUCGGGUCAUUUGAGCCAUCUGCUCUUGCAAAUCUUCGAUGGACAUGUUUGAAGGUGCGAAUCGAGGUUGGGGAAGCGGAGAUCCUUGAAAUGAGGGAUGACGGACGGAGCUUGGAGUCACUAAACCUGGUGUUGGCGAUGUAUCUUCGAGACGCACGAACCGUUGAUUCCCUGAUCGGAACCAAGUGGCAGGACCAGUCCUAGGCAUAAGAUAAGCUAAGGUUUAGGUUCCCAAAGUUUCAAGCAUUACUUAGUCUAGACUUUGACUCUCUAAAUUGGUUUUUCACUCUUUCUUUUGUCGGUACACUUUUUAGUUUUUUUUUUAUUUUGGUCAUUCUUUGGAUUUUCGAAACACUUGCCCGUGUGACAUUCAUAGUUAUUAGCACGUUCGGUUUUGGUGCCGAGUAUUGUCGUCGUAGGAGGCCUAACAACUACACAAAGAGUUAUUAAUUUUUUCACGAGUCGCUUUUGAAAUCGAGUGCUUUUCUUACGCCCUCGUAGCAAUUCUUUUUGCGAACAUUUUUUGUGCUACGUAUUUUCCUUUCGCGCGGGUACCGAGGCUGCUGCGCUUGACCAGAAGGCCAAGCAGCAACUUCAGCGCCCAGCGAGGGGCGUGAGAAAUUCUGGCGCCCAGCCAGGGGCAUUGAAAAUGCGUCCCUGGCUGGUUCUCGUUUUCUGUCUUCUGUUUAUGCGACUUCGAUUUGCGUGCUUGCUUAAUAACGUCCUUUACGCGUAACAGCGUUUGUGGGAUUCGUUACAGGCCAUCCCGAGCGUCGCUUAUUUUUGUGGCGAUCAUUCGGGUUUGCGGAACACGUGUUUCGGUAUAACUCUUUGGCAAAUUAGUCUAUGAAUGUUUGGGCAAUUUUUAAGGUCGUUGGUUUUCUCGGAUAGUUUGUCGCACACAAUCACAUAUUUCGCUACACAUAACUACAUUACAAACAUGGAUUUGAAAAUUAUAUAUGCCACGUAGUUUAUGAUAGGCUUCUAUGGGUAGUUUAUUUGCGCCUGGCUUGGUACCGCUUCUAUCGUAGAUCCAACACAUGCCCCGGUCGAGGUAGUGUCUUCAACAGACGAAUUUCGCCCAAGAGGCCAACCCGCAAGUGCAAGCCAAGGGGGCAUGCAGGCGAGAGGGACCUAAUGAGCGAGCGAUUGGGUUCGGGAUAGGUGUACUACCUGCACAAGUACCGAGUGGGAAACAUGCGCGGCGUAUGCACCCCCUAUUGGCGGGAAAAGGUAUCCUUAGUCCCAACUCCCGAGGGAGCCGAGAUUCGUUAUGCGGUUCUGCCCGUUCACAUUAAUAUGCUGAUUUUCAGGUCUUCCCAACUUGAUGGGGAAAUAAACGCGGGGUAGGAUCGUUUCACCCUUCGGCUAUUUUGAUUACCUACAAGCACGAGUAUUUCCUUCACUAUCCCAGUGGAGUCACCACUGUGGCGGGGUCGAAAAGCGCGAGGCUAAUGCGUGACCUCGUCCCUCGUGGUUGUGACGAUUCUUUUAUUCAAUCAAGUGUAAUUGGAUUUCCUGUGAGUAUACACCCAAUUGACUAGUAAUAUAGGAGUCGUCAUUCAGUUUUUAAUGACAAUGAGAAAAACUGACAAAACCCGGUUAUCGUGACAUAAAGGGAGUGCAAUUAUGUUUGACCACGACGGCCGUAGGUUCCCUUGUGAUCCCUGGUGUGGGGAUCUCUCAACAUACACCCGCGAGGUAGAGAUUGAGGGUUCGGGGGUCUGUAACUACCGAGAGGAGUACUCCGCUCGUCGAUAGCUCCAGAGGCGGAUAUCCUUACUAGCUCAGCAUAAAUAAUUGAAGGGACAUGCGUUAACUAUUAAACUAAACUGAGUUGAUUUUAGCAAUAUGCAACAUAUAAUACUAAUUCGAUCAUGAUUAUCUGAUUUAAAUAGCAUUAAGGGACCUAGCAUGAUAAUCCGAUUUCCCAAAAAUAUUAUAUUUGUUAGGCGUGAUAGAACAAUCAGAUUUAGUUAGUUUAACAGUUCAUAAAAAGGGCGAGGAAAGCAGUUAAAUCAUCGAAAAGGGACACAUUACGACGCACCCUUGAGAGGUGCGUCACGGUUCUCAGAAAACUAACCACUUUGACUUUGCUAUUUCUCCUUUUUAUUUAACGAAUCUCAAUUAUGGGACAGGAUACGUUCUGUUCGAUUUAUGGAUCGAUUGCGACAGAACGCGUGGACAGUUUCGCAGCGUGAGGCUUAGGCUAGGGUUGGAGUCAAUACUCAGAAUAUGAAUUGUGUGUGUUCUUUUCACGUCGAAUUUAGGGGUCUAUUUAUAGGGAAGAGUUCGUGGAAAGAUAGAACUGCAGAGUUCUAAUCCACAAAGAAUUAGGAAAAAACA